rnacentral:rRNA from 1 species
UUCUUUUAGAGAAAAUUAAAAGUAUAUUCUGCUCAAUGAUUUUUAUUAAAUAGCUGCAUUUUGUACUAAGGUAGCAUAAUCAAUUGUUCAUUAAUUGUGAACUGGAAUGAAAGGAUUUAUAAUUAUAGAUUUUAUUUAUAUUGUAAAUUGAAUUUUAAAUUUGAAUUAUAAUGUUCGAAUGUAAUUUAGGGACAAGAAGACCCUAUAAAGCUUUAUAUUUUUAGAAAUUUUAUUUUUAGAAAAAUAUUAUAUUGGGGCAAUGUAUUAUGAUAUAGAAUUAUAAUUUGGAAUGAUGUUAUUAAGAAUAUUAGUUGAUCCAUUAGUAAUGAAAAAUUGAAUAAGUUACUUUAGGGAUAACAGGAUGAUUUUUAUUUGGUAGUUCUUAUAUAAAAUAAAGAUUAUUACCUCGAUGUUGAAUUAAUAUUAUAUAAUGGUGAAGAAGCUAUUAUUAUUUGACUGUUCGUCAAUUAAAUUAUUACA